UCCCAUGUGGUCUAGUGGUCAGGAUUUGUGGUUUUCACCCACGCGGCCCGGGUCCGAUUCCCGGCAUGGGAA
rnacentral:tRNA from 1 species